GACGAACGCUGGCGGCGUGCUUAACACAUGCAAGUCGAACGGUAAGGCCCUUCGGGGUACACGAGUGGCGAACGGGUGAGUAACACGUGGGUGAUCUGCCCUGCACUUUGGGAUAAGCCUGGGAAACUGGGUCUAAUACCGAAUAUGACCAUGGACUUCACGGUUUGUGGUGGAAAGCUUUUGCGGUGUGGGAUGGGCCCGCGGCCUAUCAGCUUGUUGGUGGGGUAAUGGCCUACCAAGGCGACGACGGGUAGCCGGCCUGAGAGGGUGACCGGCCACACUGGGACUGAGAUACGGCCCAGACUCCUACGGGAGGCAGCAGUGGGGAAUAUUGCACAAUGGGCGCAAGCCUGAUGCAGCGACGCCGCGUGGGGGAUGACGGCCUUCGGUUGGUAAACCUCUUUCACCAGGGACGAAGCGAGAGUGACGGUACCUGGAGAAGAAGGACCGGCCAACUACGUGCCAGCAGCCGCGG
rnacentral:rRNA from 1 species